rnacentral:rRNA from 1 species
CCUUGCCAGCCCGCUCAGAAACUCAAAGGAAUUGACGGGGCCGCACAAGCGGUGGAGCAUGUGGUUUAAUUCGAUGAUACGCGAGGAACCUUACCUGGGCUCGAACGUAAGAUGACUGUAGGUGAAAGCUUACAUCUCUUCGGAGCAUUUUACGAGGUGCUGCAUGGUUGUCGUCAGCUCGUGCCGUGAGGUGUCGGGUUAAGUCCCAUAACGAGCGCAACCCCUACCUUUAGUUGCCAUCAGGUUAAGCUGGGGACUCUAAAGGAACUGCCUACGCAAGUAGUGAGGAAGGCGGGGAUGACGUCAAAUCAGCACGGCCCUUACGUCCAGGGCUACACACGUGCUACAAUGGCCGAUACAGAGGGCAGCUACCUGGUGACAGGAUGCAAAUCUCCAAAGUCGGUCUCAGUUCGGAUCGGAGUCUGCAACCCGACUCCGUGAAGUUGGAUUCGCUAGUAAUCGCGCAUCAGCCAUGGCGCGGUGAAUACGUUCCCGGGCCUU